CAGGUUUUCUGAUCCUUUUCUACUUUGUCUUUGUUGCUGCCGGUGGCCUAUGGCCGCCGUCACCGGCGACCCCUAAAAGUCUCUUUUUCAUCUGAUGUCUUUUAUCUUUUACUUGUUCAUGGAUGUUUUGUUUUUUUUUUUUUUAUCUUCUUCAACAUAGGACGUCGAUCCUUCCUUUUCCUUUUGCCUCCCAUGGCCAACGACAACUGUUCAUCUAUUAAGCAACCCUCACAAGCCAUCAAAACCAUUCACUUGCAUUACCCUUAGUAGUGUCACCAAGCUUCUGCCCUUAAAUUAGUUGAAGCUCUUCUUGAUGGCUAUGAUCUUCUCAAAUAUUCAGAUGAAUCCUUUCCUGCGACGCCGAUGAUGAUCUCCACCACUGUUGUACCUCAAACUCCGAAUCUUGCUUAUCAAACCUGCGUCGACAGGACCGUCUUAUACCUCAAGC
rnacentral:lncRNA from 1 species